ensembl:snRNA U5 U5 spliceosomal RNA
ACUCUGGUUUCUCUUCAGAUCAAAUAAAUCUUUCACCUUUUACUAAAGAUUUUCAUGAAGAAUGCCUGGCAAACCUUAAUAAACAUAGGUAUUAAAUUUUUUUAUUUACA